AGUGAACGCUGGCGGUAGGCCUAACACAUGCAAGUCGAACGGCAGCACAGUAAGAGCUUGCUCUUACGGGUGGCGAGUGGCGGACGAGUGAGGAAUACAUCGGAAUCUACUUUUUCGUGGGGGAUAACGUAGGGAAACUUACGCUAAUACCGCAUACGACCUACGGGUGAAAGCAGGGGAUCUUCGGACCUUGCGCGAUUGAAUGAGCCGAUGUCGGAUUAGCUAGUUGGCGGGGUAAAGGCCCACCAAGGCGACGAUCCGUAGCUGGUCUGAGAGGAUGAUCAGCCACACUGGAACUGAGACACAGUCCAGACUCCUACGGGAGGCAGCAGUGGGGAAUAUUGGACAAUGGGCGCAAGCCUGAUCCAGCCAUACCGCGUGGGUGAAGAAGGCCUUCGGGUUGUAAAGCCCUUUUGUUGGGAAAGAAAAGCAGCAGGUUAAUACCCCGCUGUUCUGACGGUACCCAAAGAAUAAGCACCGGCUAACUUCGUG
rnacentral:rRNA from 1 species